rnacentral:rRNA from 1 species
AGAAUCAACGCUGGCGGCGUGCCUAACACAUGCAAGUCGAACGCGAAAGGGGAGCAAUCCCUGAGUAGAGUGGCAAACGGGUGAGUAACACGUGGGUGACCUGCCUUCGAGUGGGGGAUAACGUUCCGAAAGGAACGCUAAUACCGCAUGACAUCCUGCUUUUGGAGAAGCGGAGAUCAAAGCUGGGGAUUCGCAAGAACCUAGCGCUUGAAGAGGGGCCCGCGCCUGAUUAGCUAGUUGGUGAGGUAACGGCUCACCAAGGCUACGAUCAGUA